GUAUUCUCCACUUUUAUUAUCAAACUUGGAGACAACGCUCGACUAGUAUCCCACUCUAUAUAAAGGGGGGCACAGGGGACUCUCAAAUAAUUUUUUUUUCCGAGAACAAAUCUAUAUUCUCUCACUCUCAUAUCCUUUCUGCUAUUGUUCUCAAAUUCUGACUGAAACAUCGAAGGAUCCUCACUAAAAAAUCUUCGACGAAAGUGGACUUCAUUUAUAGACUCCUCAAGGAGUCUUAAUCCUCAAAUUGAGACUGACCACU
rnacentral:lncRNA from 1 species